GAAGCAAGGGGAAAAAUAAUGCCUAAAUUCUAAACGAAAGUAGAAGUUCAAGGCCUAAUUAAUUUAAUUAUCUCUUCCAUUCCAGGGACCCGAGAAUGCCAAUAUUAGCACGAAUCGUACGGAAAUGUAACUCGGUAUUCAAACAACUAUUCAGAGUUCCUAGAGCUCCUUGUACGGCCUGUUGGAAAACCCGCUGUCGGACCUGAUUCAUUGCCCUUUGUUUUUCAAAAUAAAGGGUUUCGUUUUUAGACUUUUCCAAUUGUUCCAAACUAAUAGAAGUAGCAUUAAUCAAAUUUGCUUUUUCUCGUUCUAUCUCAGAGUAUCCAUUCAUUCGAUACUCAUCCGCUUCUAGUUCGACUUUCUGUAAUCGAAUCCGAGCUUUUUCGAGUUGCUCAAUGGUCCCUCUACGCAAUUCUUCUGAAUUUCAAAUAGUACUCAAGAUCCUCUGUUUUCGAUUAUCUAAUAAAUCUUUUAAUGAAAGUAGAUUAUUUUGUAAGUUUACAACUUUUAUGAUCUCUUCCCGAACCAAACAUGAAUCUUUCGAUUCAUUUGGCUCUCACGCUCCUUUUUUUUUCUAUAGCUAUUUCCAUAUCUUUUUUUUAAGUAAUGAGCCUAUCCUCUAUCUUCUUUUUUAUGUUUAUAUUUCAAUAUACCGAAACCUAUAUAAGACUAGAUAAAUAUUAAGAGGACUCUUCCGCCUAGAUAAAAAUAUAUCAUGGUCAGCAAAGUUGUUUCUUUAUUUUUAUUUGCCCUCUAGUUAAUAAUUUCAAUUUCAUUAAGAAAAACUAACUAAUAAAUGGAAAAUGAAAAUUAAUAGAAUUCUUUUUUAUUUUUUUCUUCAAAUCCAAAAAAUUUCUCUUUUUUAUACAUAGGUCGUCGAUUCGGCAUUGGUUAAAAAAGGGCAGGGUGCCCCCUUUUUUUUCUAGUAAAUAGUUCAAACCAUUUUAUCGAUAUGAGUGUUCUAUAUCAGAUAAAUUUUACAUUAGCUAUUUCCCGUUUAAAUUCGGUACUAAUACUAAUAUAGUUGUAGAAAGAGUACCUCUUUUUGCCUGGACUUCAAGCAGUUUAGCUUUAACCGUGUUAAUGGUCUCACAUUCUUGGUUUAUAGAGAAUCAAAGUUGAUUUACCAAUGAGUCGCGAAAUGCUAUGGUUCUUCCAUAUGAUUUCUGAAUUUAUUCAGAAGUAAUUCGUCGAGAUCGUGCACCCUUUUCUUAUUUAUCCGAAAAAUACUAAAAAAUAUUAUAAAGUGCAGCCGGAUAGAUCCAAUCUAUUCUUGAAAUAGACAACUCGCACACACUCCCUUUCCAAAAAAAAUCAAAACACCAACCACUACAGUUAGAUUUAUUAGAUUUGUUGCUAAAAUAUCGGUAUUAAGCCCGAAACUGCCAGCGGAUGGCCAGUGAGCUAAAAAAGGGCAGGGUGCCCCCUUUUUUUUUCUAGUAAAUAGUUCAAACCAUUUUAUCGAUAUGAGUGUUCUAUAUCAGAUAAAUUUUACAUUAGCUAUUUCCCGUUUAAAUUCGGUACUAAUACUAAUAUAGUUGUAGAAAGAGUACCUCUUUUUGCCUGGACUUCAAGCAGUUUAGCUUUAACCGUGUUAAUGGUCUCACAUUCUUGGUUUAUAGAGAAUCAAAGUUGAUUUACCAAUGAGUCGCGAAAUGCUAUGGUUCUUCCAUAUGAUUUCUGAAUUUAUUCAGAAGUAAUUCGUCGAGAUCGUGCACCCUUUUCUUAUUUAUCCGAAAAAUACUAAAAAAUAUUAUAAAGUGCAGCCGGAUAGAUCCAAUCUAUUCUUGAAAUAGACAACUCGCACACACUCCCUUUCCAAAAAAAAUCAAAACACCAACCACUACAGUUAGAUUUAUUAGAUUUGUUGCUAAAAUAUCGGUAUUAAGUCCGAAACUGCCAGCGGAUGGCCAGUGAGCUAAAAAAACGAAAGAAUGGGUUACAUUUUUCAUAUGCUCUCCUCUUAUAGAUAGGACGAACAAAGAACAAAGUUUUUUGAUCACUUACUUCGCUCGCCCUUUUUUGAUCGGUUUUUUUAAUGCAAAUAGAUUCAAUCUAGUAAUUUCUUUUAGAUUAAGUCUUACGUCUUGUUUGACCGGUGAAAGACUUCCUUUGUUGAAAUGUUCUGUUCCCAAAAUUCCUAAAAUAAAAGGAAAAAACUUUCCACUUUCCUAAACUAAGGACGGGAAAUAAGAAGGUGAGCAUAUCUUCUAAAUUAAUAAUACUCAACUCAGCCCUUCCUAGAAUGGGGUAUUAUCUGUCCCGAUAAAUAGAUAAUUCCAGGAGUAAUAAAUAGGAGUAAAUUAAAUAAAGUAUUGAUAUAAUUGGAAUUGCGGAAGCAAAUACCAAUUUACUAAAAAAAGAAAAAAGUAUCUAAUCGAAAUCGAAAGAAUUUUUUUUAAGAUUAA
rnacentral:lncRNA from 1 species